rnacentral:rRNA from 1 species
GAUGAACGCUAGCUACAGGCUUAACACAUGCAAGUCGCGGGGCAGCAUGGGGGUUGCUUGCAACCCCCGAUGGCGACCUGCGCACGGGUGAGUAACGCGUAUCCAACCUGCCCUUCACCACGGGAUAACCCGGCGAAAGUCGGACUAAUACCGUAUGUUGUCCAUUGACGGCAUCCGAUUUGGACGAAAGGCUUUGCGGUGAAGGAUGGGGAUGCGUCCGAUUAGCUGGACGGCGGGGUAACGGCCCACCGUGGCUACGAUCGGUAGGGGUUCUGAGAGGAAGGUCCCCCACACUGGAACUGAGACACGGUCCAGACUCCUACGGGAGGCAGCAGUGAGGAAUAUUGGUCAAUGGGCGUAAGCCUGAACCAGCCAAGUAGCGUGCAGGAUGACGGCCCUAUGGGUUGUAAACUGCUUUUAUGCGGGGAUAAAGGAGCCCACGUGUGGGUUUUUGCAGGUACCGCAUGAAUAAGGACCGGCUAAUUCCGUGCCAGCAGCCGCGGUAAUACGGAAGGUCCGGGCGUUAUCCGGAUUUAUUGGGUUUAAAGGGAGCGUAGGCCGCGCCUUAAGCGUGUUGUGAAAUCCGGGUGCUCAUCAUUCCGGCUUGCAUCGUGAAUUGGGGCGCUUUGAGUGCGCUGAAAGUAGUCGGAUUCGUGGUGUAUCGUGGAAAUGCUUAUAUAUCACGAGGAAGUCCGUGUUGCGAAGGCGGCCUACUGUUGCUCUCUGAUUGCUGAUGCUCGAAUCUUGGGGUAUCGAAAGGAUUAUGAUCCCCUUGUAGUCCAAGGGCGAAUUUGACAGUGUAUGUUGUGCUUAUCGACUCCGCCGACCUGGGGGAAAGAAAAACAAUAAACUAAUUUUUUUUCUCUUUAAUGGGUUCCUUACCCCUUGACCCCUCCCCUAACCUCCUACUUGUGUUGUUUGUGUUGUGUCUCUGUGUUUUUUGUAUUUCUAUAUGUAUGUAUUACAUACCUGGUCUUUGUGUUGCUUGUAUUUAUCUAUCUUCUCUCUUUAUCCUGAUCUUGUCAUGCAUUUCGUGAUGCCCUGUUGAGAUUGCCUGCUGUGUUGUCUGAUAUUGCUCACUAUAGCUUGUAGCCACCUGCAUGUGUUGUUUUUAUUACCUUGAUGCCUCUGUCUCCAGGUGUUCGCUACCUAUCCGAA